ACCCCCGCCCGGCCGUGUGCCUUCUGCUCCCACGUCCCCACCUUCACCCUUCUUCCCUGGAAGAGCAGAGCGGGAGGCUGCGACAAGCCUUCCCGCACUGGGAGAGCGCAGACCGAUUUGGGAUGGGGGAGUUGGAGGACGACUCCGGGAGGGGAGAGGCACCGUGAUCGCGGCUUCCAGGCCCUAAUGGGGAAGGGGGUGGCUAGGGAGAGGCCACCACCCGCCUGCACACCCCUGAUAAGGCGGCACUACCGGGGCCUAAUCAGCUGGAGUAGCCCCAGACCUAACACAGAUGCCAGUGAAAGGAAUUGUACCUGUUCCAAAAUCAAGACUGUCACCUCUGCAGUGUCCUAAACUCAUAAACCCUGCAGAUAUUUCAGACAUGAAUCAGAAAGCAAAAACAAAUGACUCUCACUUCCAGGAAGAGGUGGCGUUAAGUGCAGAAAAUUAUUAAAGGUGCUUCAUCACAUAGAAGUUUGAACCUUACAUAGAGCAAAUUUGAAUAGCCUAAAAGGGCUCAGGCUGAAAAGCUUAGAACUUGCUUACAGGCCAAGAUUCCAAGACCCAAGCAUUCAUCAAUGCUAGGACAAGGGGGCUGGCACUACCUGGAGGGUGAGCAUCAAAUGGAUGUCUGCCAUAUACCCUAGCUAUUUCCCAAGUCCAGUUUGAGUAGAAACCUGCCUACUAUGGGUAAGGGGGGCAGGUGGGAGAUGGAAGUCUGGGCUUGUAGAAAAGGGUGAGCGUGUAUGUGUGGGGGCUAUGGGAGAGCCUCAGGGA